rnacentral:tRNA from 1 species
GCGGAAGUGGCGGAAUCGGCAGACGCGCUAGUUUGAGGGGCUAGUCCCAAUGAUAUGGGGUGGGGGUUCAAGUCCCCCCUUCCGCACCA